CUCCCUAUAGUACAAUGGAUAGCGCGUUGGACUUCUAAUCCAAAGUUUGUGGGUUCGAAUCCUACUUGGGAGU